rnacentral:rRNA from 1 species
GGGAAUAUUGCACAAUGGGGGAAACCCUGAUGCAGCGACGCCGCGUGAGUGAAGAAGUAUUUCGGUAUGUAAAGCUCUAUCAGCAGGGAAGAAAAAAGACGGUACCUGACUAAGAAGCCCCGGCUAACUACGUGCCAGCAGCCGCGGUAAUACGUAGGGGGCAAGCGUUAUCCGGAUUUACUGGGUGUAAAGGGAGCGUAGACGGCGCGGCAAGUCUGAAGUGAAAGGCAGGGGCUUAACCCCUGAACUGCUUUGGAAACUGCCAUGCUAGAGUGCUGGAGAGGUAAGUGGAAUUCCUAGUGUAGCGGUGAAAUGCGUAGAUAUUAGGAGGAACACCAGUGGCGAAGGCGGCUUACUGGACAGUAACUGACGUUGAGGCUCGAAAGCGUGGGGAGCAAACAG